AACGCACAUUGCGCCUCUAGUAACUUGGAGGCAUGCCUGUCUGAGCGUCAUUUAAAACCAUAAACCUGAAUGGGUUUGUAUUGGGCAUCGCCGUACGGCGUAGCCUCAAAGACAUUGGUCUUGAACGCGGACGAGCUCCUUUAGGACAGACCGUGUGAGGACUUUAAACAUCUGACUUGACCUCAGAUCAGGUAGGGCUACCGCCUGAACUUAA
rnacentral:misc_RNA from 1 species